UACGUAGGGGGCAAGCGUUGUCCGGAUUUACUGGGCGUAAAGAGCGUGUAGGCGGCCAAGCAGGUCCGUUGUGAAAACUGGAGGCUUAACCUCCAGACGUCGACGGAAACCGCGUGGCUAGAGACCGGAAGAGGAGAGUGGAAUUCCUGGUGUAGCGGUGAAAUGCGCAGAUAUCAGGAAGAACACCAAUGGCGAAGGCAGCUCUCUGGGACGGUACUGACGCUGAGACGCGAAAGCGUGGGGAGCGAACAGG
rnacentral:rRNA from 1 species